rnacentral:rRNA from 1 species
AUGCAUGGCACGCGCUGGCUGGCUCGCUCAGUAGUACGGCUGGAGCUUCCAGCGCUGGUUGUCGCCCUCGCACCACUUCCAGAGCACGACCUCGGUGCCGUCGCGGACGCCGCCGUGGUACUUGUCGCCGUUGAGGGCGUCGAAGUUGAGGCGGGUGUUGUUGACCAUGCGGAUGCAGCGGAAACCCUUGCCCACGUCCUUGCUCUCCGUCCACAGCACCGACGCGUCCUCGUACGCCGGGUUGAACGGCACCAGCUUCACCUGCAACACCAUCCCCAAUCCACCACGCGCAUGUCAAGAACUCAAGAUCAAUCGAAUCGAAGCAAAAGACGGACGAUCUGA